CCUAGGCAGUAUAAAAAUAAAUCCAAGUCACCUAUGGGGAAGCCAGUACCUCUACCCAGCAUCAUGUCAGCAAGUUACACAGUUCUACAGCAGCUCUGGAUCUAUCCACUGACCACAGAGGAGCGGCAACCUGGUGGGACCAGCCAUACUAACCCAGGCAUCAGCUCAGCCAGCCUGCUGACCAAAGAUAAUGCAGCACAGUUUCUCUGCAAGACGGCAGCCAAGUCACGAUCAUCAGACUCCGGCAACCAGAAGGCGGAUGCAGCAAGAGCCCCACGUUGACUCCUUGGCACCUCCCCUUGUGUCUGUGCUAACCUCUUUCAUCUCAAGUGUUCUUUUUAAAAGCAUGGCAAUGUGGUGAAUUUACCCUCUGUCUCAAGAGGGCCAAGACCUGUCUCCUCCUGGAAGCCCUUCAGAACUCUGACCCCGGAGAAACCCAGGCUCCGCCAGACACUAGCCUCCCAUCUUACUAUUCUUGGAUCCCAGCUGUCUAGACUGGGCUGGAGCCUGAGAGCAGUUCCUCAGCUGAUCCCAGCCGGACUCUGGUCUCUCGGUUUGUGCUUAUCCAUCUGGGCAACUUCAUAGGCAACAAUAAAGCUUGGGGUCGAUGAGCUAUCGCCAAAUAGGGACGCACACAUAAUGCCUUCCUGUCUGAGUGGGGGACACCUCUACUCAGGACGUCUCAGAGCUCAGACAUCUCACACCCUCCGGGUCUUCUGAGAUUCCCUGCACCUGAGAUUCCAGAGACACAGACAGAUGACCUGAUCUAACAACCCCUUGCCAUUUCUGACCCCCAGACCUUCUUCUGGACCUUCUAGCCCUCCCCCAGCCCCACACAACCCCCAAGCUGUCUCCAGAAGAGCUCAGCAUCAAAGUUCCUUCUCCAAGAGGACCCAGCCUCCAUUCAAGACUCAGAUUUAUUCAAGGCAGGAAAACAAAUGGUGUUGCCUGGAGAACAUCUGGAUCUGAGCCCCCAGACUCCCUCCCCAGAUACCACAGAGCCCCU